rnacentral:tRNA from 2 species
GUCUCCGUGGCGCAAUUGGUUAGCGCGUUCGACUGUUAAUCGAGAGGUUGGCAGUUCAAGCCUGCCCGGGGACG